rnacentral:miRNA from 1 species
GGGCGCGGGGGGGCUGGGCUCGGC